rnacentral:rRNA from 1 species
UACAGAGGUCCCAAGCGUUGUUCGGAUUCACUGGGCGUAAAGGGUGCGUAGGCGGUCGGGCAAGUCUGAUGUGAAAUCUCACAGCUUAACUGUGAGACUGCAUUGGAUACUAUCCGGCUCGAGGAAUGGAGGGGAGACUGGAAUACUUGGUGUAGCAGUGAAAUGCGUAGAUAUCAAGUGGAACACCAGUGGCGAAGGCGAGUCUCUGGACAUUUCCUGACGCUGAGGCACGAAAGCCAGGGGAGCAAACGGG